rnacentral:rRNA from 1 species
UACGUAGGGGGCUAGCGUUGUCCGGAAUCAUUGGGCGUAAAGCGCGCGUAGGCGGCCCGGUAAGUCCGCUAUGAAAGUCAAAGGCUCAACCUUUGAAUGUCAGCGGAUACUGCCGGGCUAGAGUCCGGAAGAGGCGAGUGGAAUUCCUGGUGUAGCGGUGGAAUGCGCAGAUAUCAGGAGGAACACCAACGGCGAAGGCAGCUCGCUGGGACGGUACUGACGCUGAGACGCGAAAGCGUGGGGAGCGAACAGG